rnacentral:rRNA from 1 species
UACGAAGGGGGGCUAGCGUUGUUCGGAAUUACUGGGCGUAAAGCGCACGUAGGCGGAUAUUUAAGUCAGGGGUGAAAUCCCAGAGCUCAACUCUGGAACUGCCUUUGAUACUGGGUAUCUUGAGUAUGGAAGAGGUGAGUGGAAUUCCGAGUGUAGAGGUGAAAUUCGUAGAUAUUCGGAGGAACACCAGUGGCGAAGGCGGCUCACUGGUCCAUUACUGACGCUGAGGUGCGAAAGCGUGGGGAGCGAACAGG